rnacentral:rRNA from 1 species
GACGAACGCUGGCGGCGUGCCUAAUACAUGCAAGUAGAACGCUGAAGGAGGAGCUUGCUUCUCUGGAUGAGUUGCGCACGGGUGAGUAACGCGUAGGUAACCUUCCUGGUAGCGGGGGAUAACUAUUGGAAACGAUAGCUAAUACCGCAUAAGAGUAGAUGUUGCAUGACAUUUACUUAAAAGGUGCAAUUGAAUCACUACCAGAUGGACCUGCGUUGUAUUAGCUAGUUGGUGAGGUAACGGCUCACCAAGGCAACGAUACAUAGCCGAGCUGAGAGGGUGGUUGGCCACACUGGGACUGAGACAAGGCCCAGACCCCUACGGGAAGCAGCAGGAGGGGAACUUUGGAAAAUGACGGAAGUCUGACCGAGCAACGCCGGGGGAGGUAAGAAGGGUCUCGGAUCGUAAAGGUCUGUUGUAAUAGAAGAACGAGUGGGAGGGUGGAAAGUUCACACUGUGACGGUACCUUACCAGAAAGGGACGGCUAACUACGUG